rnacentral:rRNA from 1 species
UACGUAGGCAGCGAGCGUUGUUCGGAAUUACUGGGCGUAAAGAGUGUGUAGGCGGUGCUCUAAGUUCGGUGUGAAAUCCCCAGGCUUAACCUGGGAACUGCAUCCGAUACUGGAUGGCUUGAAUCCGGGAGAGGGAUGCGGAAUUCCAGGUGUAGCGGUGAAAUGCGUAGAUAUCUGGAGGAACACCGGUGGCGAAGGCGGCAUCCUGGACCGGCAUUGACGCUGAGGAGCGAAAGCCAGGGGAGCAAACGGG